UAGUACGGCGAGUGAGAGGGAAGAGCCCAAGAUUGAAAGCUGGCGUCUUCGGCGUCCGCAUUGUAAUCUCAAGAAGUGUUUUCCGCUUCGGACCAAGCCUAAGUCCCCUGGAAAGGGGCAUCAUAGAGGGUGAUAAUCCCGUACAUGGCUUGGAGCGCCCGAGGCUUUGUGAUACGCUUUCUAAGAGUCGAGUUGUUUGGGAAUGCAGCUCAAAAUGGGUGGUAAAUGCCAUCUAAGGCUAAAUAUUGGGGAGAGACCGAUAGCGAACAAGUACAGUGAUGGAAAGAUGAAAAGAACUUUGAAAAGAGAGUUAAACAGUACGUGAAAUUGCCAAAAGGGAAGGGUAGGAGGUCAGAGAUGCGGCCUGGGAUUCAGCCUUGCUUUUGCUUGGUGUUUUUCCCAGAUUGCAGGCCAACGUCGGUUUUGGGCACUGGAGAAGGGUAGGAGGAACGUGGCACCCCUCGGGGUGUGUUAUAGCCUCCUACUGGAUACAGCGACCGAGACAGAGGACAGCAGCGUACUCGCAAGAGCGGGCCUUCGGGCACCUUUACGCUUAGGGCGUUGGCAUAAUGGCCCUCUACCACCCGUCUUGA
rnacentral:rRNA from 1 species